rnacentral:rRNA from 1 species
UGUUGCCGUUAAAAGCUCGUAGUUGAACCUUGGACCUGGCUGAUCUGUCCUCCUAAUCGAGCGUACGGAUUCGGUCGGGUCUUUCCUUCUGGGGAACCCUAUGUCCUUCAUUGGGUGUAGUGGGGAACCAGGACUUUUACCUUGAAAAAAUUAGAGUGUUCAAAGCAGGCCUUUGCUCGAAUACAUUAGCAUGGAAUAAUAGAAUAGGACAUCGGUUCUAUUUUGUUGGUUUCUAGGACCGCUGUAAUGAUUAAUAGGGAUAGUCGGGGGCGUCCGUAUUCAAUUGUCAGAGGUGAAAUUCUUGGAUUUAUUGAAGACGAACUACUGCGAAAGCAUUCGCCAAGGAUGUUUUCAUUAAUCAGUGAACGAAAGUUAGGGGAUCGAAGACGAUCAGAUACCGUCGUAGUCUUAACCAUAAACUAUGCCGACUAGGGAUCGGACGGUGGUUUUUUUAUGCCCCGUUCG